rnacentral:tRNA from 1 species
GCCGCUUUAGCUCAGCUGGUUAGAGCACCUCUUUUGUAAAGAGGGGGUCCCGGGUUCGAACCCCUGAAGCGGCUCCA